CUACAGUGUAGCUUGUUUGUGUAGUUCAACACUUGUGUAGUUCAAUGUGAGAUCAAUGUUACAGCUUCUAUUAUGGGAUACCUACCCUUUGAAGUAACCUCCUGCGAAAGGUUUCAAGGCGAGCGCUCUGCCGGCAGCUGCGACAUUCACGUGUUUCAGGUUGUAUAUGUUGGGGAGAUUGUGAUGGACCGGCUAAUUCAUCAGCUGUUGGCUGCUGUCUAGCAACAUCAGCUGGAGUAUUCACUGUUGAAGGUGUUUGGGAUAUAGCUGAAGUUAAAGGUAUUGUAGGUCUAAUGAUAUUAGUU